ACUCCUACGGGAGCAGCAGUGGGGAAUAUUGCACAAUGGGCGAAAGCCUGAUGCAGCAACGCCGCGUGAACGAUGAAGGUCUUCGGAUCGUAAAGUUCUGUCGCAGGGGAAGAUAAUGACGGUACCCUGUGAGGAAGCACCGGCUAACUACGUGCCAGCAGCCGCGGUAAU
rnacentral:rRNA from 1 species